rnacentral:rRNA from 1 species
AACCCCUAUUUCCCGACUUGGCCCAUACUCGCAGUCGAGCGAUGGAUUAAGAGCUUGCUCUUAUGAAGUUAGCGGCGGACGGGCUGAAACACGUGGGUAACCUGCCCAUAAGACUGGGAUAACUCCGGGAAACCGGGGCUAAUACCGGAUAACAUUUUGAACCGCAUGGUUCGAAAUUGAAAGGCGGCUUCGGCUGUCACUUAUGGAUGGACCCGCGUCGCAUUAGCUAGUUGGUGAGGUAACGGCUCACCAAGGCAACGAUGCGUAGCCGACCUGAGAGGGUGAUCGGCCACACUGGGACUGAGACACGGCCCAGACUCCUACGGGAGGCAGCAGUAGGGAAUCUUCCGCAAUGGACGAAAGUCUGACGGAGCAACGCCGCGUGAGUGAUGAAGGCUUUCGGGUCGUAAAACUCUGUUGUUAGGGAAGAACAAGUGCUAGUUGAAUAAGCUGGCACCUUGACGGUACCUAACCAGAAAGCCACGGUUAACUACGUGCCAGCAGCCGCGGUAAUACGUAGGUGGCAAGCGUUAUCCGGAAUUUAUUGGGCGUAAAGCGCGCGCAGGUGGUUUCUUAAGUCUGAUGUGAAAGCCCACGGCUUCAA